rnacentral:snRNA from 1 species
AGAUGUGAGGGCAAUCUGGCUGCGACAUCUGUUACCCUAUUGAUCACCAGGAUUGAUUCCUCUGAUCUGACUCUCUAGGUGGGUGUCCCUUUCCUCCCUCAACACUUCCCUCCACAUGUGUCCCUUUUGAAGCUGCAUGCUAGGUUGAAGAGGACAACCUCCCCUGAUAGAGGAGGACCCAUCUUGGGUCAAGAGUAUAGGAAUAGCUGAGCUCCCCUGCUAGAACUUCCAAAUAAGCUCUCAAAAGUACAAGCUCUUUCACCAUGCUGACCUGUUAGAUUUUUAUCUCUUGCAAGCUCUUCAGUCUGUGUAGCUAUCAAAUAUAUCUCCAGUGGAAAUCUAUAAUAAAUU